rnacentral:rRNA from 1 species
CAGUGGGGAAUAUUGGCACAAUGGGCGCAAGCCUGAUGCAGCCAUGCCGCGUGUAUGAAGAAGGCCUUCGGGUUGUAAAGUACUUUCAGCAGUGAGGAAGGUGGAUAUGUUAAUAGCAUAUUCAUUUGACGUUAGCUGCAGAAGAAGCACCGGCUAACUCCGUGCCAGCAGCCGCGGUAAUACGGAGGGUGCGAGCGUUAAUCGGAAUUACUGGGCGUAAAGCGCAUGCAGGUGGUUUGUUAAGUCAGAUGUGAAAGCCCGGGGCUCAACCUCGGAAUUGCAUUUGAAAACUGGCAAACUAGAGUACUGUAGAGGGGGUAGAAUUUCAGGUGUAGCGGUGAAAUGCGUAGAGAUCUGAAGGAAUACCGGUGGCGAAGGCGGCCCCCUGGACAGAUACUGACACUCAGAUGCGAAAGCGUGGGGAGCAAACAGGAUUAGAUACCCUGGUAG